GGAGCACUGGGUGGUGGAGGAGCAGUGAUGCUGCAGGACCACUGUGUGAGAAAGGACGCUGCAGAUAAGGGCUGAGUCGAUCUUGGUGAGACUUAAAACUUAACAAGCACAAGAACAACAGGGGGAUGCAAUGGAGCCUGAACUCACCCCGCAAUGAAACAACCCCCUUACCCUGAGUCUCAACUCUGUGGGUUUUGCAAGCCUUUCCCUGUUCCUUAUUUUUAAUAAACCAAACACUGAGCUUCCC